rnacentral:snRNA from 1 species
GCAACUUCGAACUGGAACUGUUGCCGAACAGGCCCUUAGAUCAAGUGUAGUAUCUGUUCUUGAUAGUUUAACCACUAUUAUGGAGGCCUGCCUCUUCUGGUUAUCCUAUUUUUGCCGCCUCAGUUCCUUGGGCUCUGCUUGCACCCCUUGGGCGUGAUGACCUUGCUGCUGCAGAAAUGGCUAGCAUCGUCGGAGGAUC